GACGAACGCUGGCGGCGUGCUUAACACAUGCAAGUCGAACGGAAAGGCCCUGCUUUUGUGGGGUGCUCGAGUGGCGAACGGGUGAGUAACACGUGAGUAACCUGCCCUUGACUUUGGGAUAACUUCAGGAAACUGGGGCUAAUACCGGAUAGGAGCUCCUGCUGCAUGGUGGGGGUUGGAAAGUUUCGGCGGUUGGGGAUGGACUCGCGGCUUAUCAGCUUGUUGGUGGGGUAGUGGCUUACCAAGGCUUUGACGGGUAGCCGGCCUGAGAGGGUGACCGGCCACAUUGGGACUGAGAUACGGCCCAGACUCCUACGGGAGGCAGCAGUGGGGAAUAUUGCACAAUGGGCGGAAGCCUGAUGCAGCAACGCCGCGUGCGGGAUGACGGCCCUCGGGUUGUAAACCGCUUUCGCCCGUGACGAAGCGUGAGUGACGGUAAUGGGUAAAGAAGCACCGGCUAACUACGUG
rnacentral:rRNA from 1 species